rnacentral:rRNA from 1 species
AUUGAACGCUGGCGGCAUGCCUUGCACAUGCAAGUCGAACGGCAUCGCGGGAAAGCUUGCUUUCCUGGCGGCGAGUGGCGAACGGGUGAGUAACACAUCGGAACGUACCGGCUAGUGGGGGAUAACCCGUCGAAAGACGGGCUAAUACCGCAUACGCUCUUCGGAGGAAAGCAGGGGACCUUUGGGCCUUGCGCUAGCCGAGCGGCCGAUGUCCGAUUAGCUAGUUGGUGGGGUAAAGGCCUACCAAGGCGACGAUCGGUAGCGGGUCUGAGAGGACGAUCCGCCACACUGGGACUGAGACACGGCCCAGACUCCUACGGGAGGCAGCAGUGGGGAAUCUUGGACAAUGGGGGCAACCCUGAUCCAGCAAUGCCGCGUGGGUGAAGAAGGCCUUCGGGUUGUAAAGCCCUUUCGGCAGGGAAGAAAUCGGCGGGGCGAAUAACCCUGCUGGAUGACGGUACCUGCAGAAGAAGCACCGGCUAACUACGUG